rnacentral:tRNA from 1 species
CAUUAGAUGGCCGAAAGUUAAGCAAUGGAAUUUUAAAUCAUUAAAUAAUAUGGUCACGCAUAUUUCUAAUG